ACGCUUCCCUCAGCAGCACAUAUACUAAAACUGGACUGAUACAGAGAAGAUUAGCAUGGUCCCUGCACAAGGAUAACACACAUUCAUGAAGCAUUCCAUGUUUAA